rnacentral:tRNA from 1 species
GCUAGCGUGGCAGAGCUCGGUAAAAUGCAAAAGGCUUAAGCCCUUUACCCAGAGGUUCAAAUCCUCUCACUAGCU